rnacentral:rRNA from 1 species
CACACUAUCAUUAACUGAAUCCAUAGGUUAAUGAGGCGAACCGGGGGAACUGAAACAUCUAAGUACCCCGAGGAAAAGAAAUCAACCGAGAUUCCCCCAGUAGCGGCGAGCGAACGGGGAGCAGCCCAGAGCCUGAAUCAGUGUGUGUGUUAGUGGAAGCGUCUGGAAAGGCGCGCGAUACAGGGUGACAGCCCCGUACACAAAAAUGCACAUGCUGUGAGCUCGAUGAGUAGGGCGGGACACGUGGUAUCCUGUCUGAAUAUGGGGGGACCAUCCUCCAAGGCUAAAUACUCCUGACUGACCGAUAGUGAACCAGUACCGUGAGGGAAAGGCGAAAAGAACCCCGGCGAGGGGAGUGAAAAAGAACCUGAAACCGUGUACGUACAAGCAGUGGGAGCACGCUUAGGCGUGUGACUGCGUACCUUUUGUAUAAUGGGUCAGCGACUUAUAUUCUGUAGCAAGGUUAACCGAAUAGGGGAGCCGAAGGGAAACCGAGUCUUAACUGGGCGUUAAGUUGCAGGGUAUAGACCCGAAACCCGGUGAUCUAGCCAUGGGCAGGUUGAAGGUUGGGUAACACUAACUGGAGGACCGAACCGACUAAUGUUGAAAAAUUAGCGGAUGACUUGUGGCUGGGGGUGAAAGGCCAAUCAAACCGGGAGAUAGCUGGUUCUCCCCGAAAGCUAUUUAGGUAGCGCCUCGUGAAUUCAUCUCCGGGGGUAGAGCACUGUUUCGGCAAGGGGGUCAUCCCGACUUACCAACCCGAUGCAAACUGCGAAUACCGGAGAAUGUUAUCACGGGAGACACACGGCGGGUGCUAACGUCCGUCGUGAAGAGGGAAACAACCCAGACCGCCAGCUAAGGUCCCAAAGUCAUGGUUAAGUGGGAAACGAUGUGGGAAGGCCCAGACAGCCAGGAUGUUGGCUUAGAAGCAGCCAUCAUUUAAAGAAAGCGUAAUAGCUCACUGGUCGAGUCGGCCUGCGCGGAAGAUGUAACGGGGCUAAACCAUGCACCGAAGCUGCGGCAGCGACGCUGAUGCGUUGUUGGGUAGGGGAGCGUUCUGUAAGCCUGCGAAGGUGUGCUGUGAGGCAUGCUGGAGGUAUCAGAAGUGCGAAUGCUGACAUAAGUAACGAUAAAGCGGGUGAAAAGCCCGCUCGCCGGAAGACCAAGGGUUCCUGUCCAACGUUAAUCGGGGCAGGGUGAGUCGACCCCUAAGGCGAGGCCGAAAGGCGUAGUCGAUGGGAAACAGGUUAAUAUUCCUGUACUUGGUGUUACUGCGAAGGGGGGACGGAGAAGGCUAUGUUGGCCGGGCGACGGUUGUCCCGGUUUAAGCGUGUAGGCUGGUUUUCCAGGCAAAUCCGGAAAAUCAAGGCUGAGGCGUGAUGACGAGGCACUACGGUGCUGAAGCAACAAAUGCCCUGCUUCCAGGAAAAGCCUCUAAGCAUCAGGUAACAUCAAAUCGUACCCCAAACCGACACAGGUGGUCAGGUAGAGAAUACCAAGGCGCUUGAGAGAACUCGGGUGAAGGAACUAGGCAAAAUGGUGCCGUAACUUCGGGAGAAGGCACGCUGAUAUGUAGGUGA